GGUGCGGGCCUGCCUGGGCUCCAGGGGUGGGCGGGUGGCCGGCCCCCGGCUGCAUACGCACAACCAAAUUCUGCCUGCGAGAAACUCGGGUUGUGAGUCUCACAAAGCUCACUACCUGCGAGGCGAGGGCGCACCCGCGACACUCCAGUCCUGGACAGCCCUGUGCCCCGCGCUGCCCACGGUGGAACCCAGAAAGGCGCUGGGUCCACGCCAGUUCCAGAGCAGGUCCCGAAGAGGUGCUAGUUCUCUGGACACGGGUCCUCCACCUGGUCUCUACUGACACAGUGACACACACACGGACAGAGGCCUUCCUGCACACGGGACAGCACGCAGACCAGCGCCCUUACAGAAACAGAUCCUCUUUUGUUGCCAGUUCAGGGAGUCCAGGUGGUUGAACAUCAGAGUGUUUCAUCUUAUUUCCCUUUGGGGUUGCGAUGAAGGACGUGACAGCAAGACAAGGUAAGAUUGACACCAAGGAUCUUGACUAGGAGGACUACAAAGCUGGGGCUCCCUUGGAGAGAUGGAGGUGAGUGUGGGCAGAGGGCGCUGGUUUGCACCUGAGGAGACAGCGCGGUCUGAACCACAGUGGGUUCUGAGGGGUGAGCUGUGGAUUCACCUUUGGACUGGGAAGC
ensembl:lncRNA